AGCAGCCGCGGUAAUUCCAGCUCCAAUAGCGUAUAUUAAAGUUGUUGCAGUUAAAAAGCUCGUAGUUGAAUUUCGAGAUCAAAUUGUUGGUCGUGCCUCGGUACGUACUGGCAUUAUUGAUUUCUCCCUUCUGAAGAACCACGAUGUCAUUAAUUUGGUGUCGUGGGGAAUCAGGACUGUUACUUUGAAAAAAUUGAGUGUUUAAAGCAGGCUCACGCUUGAAUACAUUAGCAUGGAAUAAUGAAAUAGGACGUUUGAUUCUAUUUUGUUGGUUUCUAGGAUCGACGUAAUGAUUAAUAGGGAUAGUUGGGGGCAUUAGUAUUCAAUUGUCAGAGGUGAAAUUCUUGGAUUUAUUGAAGACUAACUACUGCGAAAGCAUUUGCCAAGGAUGUUUUCAUUAAUCAAGAACGAAAGUUAGGGGAUCGAAGACGAUCAGAUACCGUCGUAGUCUUAACCAUAAACUAUGCCGACUAGGGAUCGGAUGAUGUUAAUUUUAAUGACUCAUUCGGCGUA
rnacentral:rRNA from 1 species